AAGUCGUAACAAGGUUUCCGUAGGUGAACCUGCGGAAGGAUCAUUAAAAAAACACUUAUACACUUUUAGGCAUAAACACUUACCAUUGAAUUCUUCAAAUACACAAUUCAAAAACUUUCAACAACGGAUCUCUUGGUUCUC
rnacentral:misc_RNA from 1 species